AUUGAACGCUGGCGGCAUGCCUUACACAUGCAAGUCGAACGGCAGCACGGGUGCUUGCACCUGGUGGCGAGUGGCGAACGGGUGAGUAAUACAUCGGAACAUGUCCUGUAGUGGGGGAUAGCCCGGCGAAAGCCGGAUUAAUACCGCAUACGAUCUACGGAUGAAAGCGGGGGGCCUUCGGGCCUCGCGCUAUAGGGUUGGCCGAAGGCGGAUUAGCUAGUUGGUGGGGUAAAGGCCUACCAAGGCGACGAUCAGUAGCUGGUCUGAGAGGACGACCAGCCACACUGGGACUGAGACACGGCCCAGACUCCUACGGGAGGCAGCAGUGGGGAAUUUUGGACAAUGGGCGAAAGCCUGAUCCAGCAAUGCCGCGUGUGUGAAGAAGGCCUUCGGGUUGUAAAGCACUUUUGUCCGGAAAGAAAUACUUGGCCCUAAUACGGUCGGGGGAUGACGGUACCGGAAGAAUAAGCACCGGCUAACUACGUG
rnacentral:rRNA from 1 species